UCAAUAUUUCAUGUGCGCAUGCGCUGCCGCUCCGAGGGCAAGGGGGAGCGCGGCCCCUGCCGCUAACAGCGUCCCGGUCACCCAGGAGAUCUGGGGGCGGGGGUCAAGGGAAGAGCCUCUGGCGCCACGACCAAUCAUCGUGAGGAGGCGGGGCUCAGCCCCAAUCCGAUCUGAGCGCGGCACCUGCCGGCGGCCUCCGGAGCCAGCCCCGCCCCCAAAGUGAGCGCGCCGCUGGCGGGCGGGGGAGGCGGGGAGACGAGGGAGCGGCCGGAUUCAGGACUGAGCCCCUGGCCGUGCCCUCCUGCACCGGCGGCUUGUCCGGGCCGCGUUCCGGGAGCUUCUCCCUGGGUGUCGGGGGGAGCGGCCGAGUCGGGCUUGGGGGCCCCCCCCGACCUCAGUCACGCGUUCCUGGAGCCGCAGGGGCAUCGCGGGUAACGGGGCCACCCCGCACUCCAGUGGCCUCAGCAGCGUGGGGUGGAUGCUCUGCCCCGCUGGGCUCCCCGCCGCCAUUCCCCCAGCGUUUGUUCCUGCAGGCCCAGAGCUCACAUCAAUAAAGGGUAGGCAUAGCAGAGAUAGACAACGCUCCCCUCCAUCCACCUGUGCUGGAGCAUUAAUGGGGAAGGCAACUGGCCAGCUCCAGCUUCACACCAGUUUGAAAUCAUUGCUGUUCCAAAGCUAUCUACACUUGACCUGAAAUUCAGCAGCUCUAGAAAGAAGGACACAGAAUGGAGAAAAGCAAUAGCUGGAGAUGACUGAGUUCUUCUGAGCAUUCAUAACUCACACAGAUGUUGACCCACAUUAGUUGCAUUAAUCCUCAAGAUAUUGUGCCUUGGUAAUCAUUCUUUUAUCUGUAAAAUACUGGACAUGAUUCUCCUCUAAGCAUUUUAAUGCUGCACCUGUAUUAGGCAGAUAAAUGUUGAGCAUACUGUUUUCAGAGCAUGCUUAGUAAAUAAAGGGCCAAACUUUAAUUCCAAUCUAACUUUUCAGGAGGGUAGUGCACAAUGCUAGCACUAGACUAAUGGAUGGGUAUAGAGGCUUUGCUUUUUAUUAGUAGUCAUCUUAAGUGCACUAUAGCUUUCACAUAAUAAUGCAAGCUGAAAGAUGUGUAAUUGUCUUGCAGUUGAAGGAAUGUCAUGCUGGGUGUUGUCUAAAGGAUACUGGGAGGAGACUGAUUGCCCACACACAAAGAAAAAACACAACCCUACUGGCCCAUCAUCAGUGGCCUUGAUAGACUCUCCAGAACAUCAGCUAUUUUACCUUUCCGGAGGGUAGAUCACUGCCUUGGCUAAUCACAGCAUCUGAAGGCAUACAACCCUUACCUAUUGUCAAAGCAGAACUACAUCCCCACAAUCAUACAUUUAGGAACAAAGAAGUUGGUCAGUUCCAAGAUCAGGGACUGUACCCUGAAAAGCAGCAACUCUGAAAAGGAUUUUGGGGCCAGGAUAGGUAAAUAAUAGAAUGUGAUGUCCCAUUGUGAUACUGGGACAAAACAAACCAUCAUUCUUGGAUGUAUAAAUGGGAGAAUGCUGAGCAGGAGUAAGGAGGUAGUAUUAUUUGUGUAUGUGACCCAAGACCCAGUGGUGUGAAGUUUAAAUUAAAAUAUAAAAACUUCUUAAUAAAUGGAACAGCUUACAAAAGGAAGUGCUAAAUUCAUUAUCGUGAUUGGAUAUCCCUGUAAAAGAUAUGCUAUAGUUCAACAAAAGAUACUGGGUUGAACCGUGUUUACUUACAUAGCAGGGAAGAAUAAUUCUCUCUGCUGGAGGACUUAUUGGAUAAAAAUAGGCUUGCUUAAAAGUGCACAGAAUUAGGCUUUUUUAUAAUGUAAACAAAUGAAACUGUAUGGCAUCUUUUUGUUGUUGCCUUCCUUCACUCAAGCAGAUGUUCAAUUUCAGUAAAUGUUUUUUUUUUAAAUGUAAUAAAAAGGAAUAUACAGUCAAAUGUAAGGAUUAUAAUUUUCAGUUAGGCUUACAAUAUUCUGUGAAAGAAUUGGCAUUACAAGUCUGCCUUUUUUGUGUCUGAAUGGUAUAAUGUUACUUGUGAGUGAACUGAGUCAAGUUGAUUGUUGGGUGCUAAUUUCAUUCAAAAGAACACUAACAAUGAAAGCUUCUAAACUUCAGGAUCAGGAAAUUCUUCAUACCCAUUAUAGACUGUUCCAACAUUAUGUUUUUUAUAAUGAAU